GUAUCGGCCCCCCAGGAUAGGCUCACCAAAGAGCCUGAACCAUGUCCCGCGACAAAGCAAACCAGAGGAAGAGGCCUCAGGAUUCAUAGCAGAGGACGUGGUCAUGUGAGCAGAUUAAACAUCACUGGCAAUCCAUCAGGGACCAGCACAUGAGGGACCUUAGGGAGGAGGCUGAGAGGCCCAGCGGAUCUGGGGCCCCCAGCAAAACUCCCUAUGUACACCACCCGCUUCUUCUUGGAUUCCUCCAGAAGUGCCAUGAACUGCGGAAAACACAUUCCAGUGUGAAGAGAGCACCACAGACCCUGGCAGUGGCAACCCCUGCUGACAAUACCCCCCUGGUCCAGUCCCCGCCCCCGACACUGCUGAUCAAGGGCAAGAGCCUUCUCCCCUACCAGCUUCCUCAUCGUCCAGACCAAAUCGCCAGAGGAUCGAAG